UAAGGAAUAUUGGUCAAUGGACGCAAGUCUGAACCAGCCAUGCCGCGUGAAGGAUGGAGGUCCUCUGGAUUGUAAACUUCUUUUAUCUGGGACGAAAACGGGAUUUUUAUCUCAAUUGACGGUACCAGAGGAAUAAGCACCGGCUAACUCCGUGCCAGCAGCCGCGGUAAUACGGAGGGUGCGAGCGUUAUCCGGAUUUACUGGGUUUAAAGGGUGCGUAGGUGGGCUUAUAAGUCAGUGGUGAAAUCUCCGAGCUUAACUUGGAAACUGCCGUUGAUACUAUAGGUCUUGAAUUAUCUGGAGGUAAGCGGAAUAUGUCAUGUAGCGGUGAAAUGCUUAGAUAUGACAUAGAACACCAAUUGCGAAGGCAGCUUACUACAUAUAAAUUGACGCUGAGGCACGAAAGCGUGGGGAUCAAACA
rnacentral:rRNA from 1 species